rnacentral:rRNA from 1 species
CAAAGUCGAGCGAGCUUGCCUAGAUGAAAUUGGUGCUUGCACCAAAAUGAAACUAGAUACAAGCGAGCGGCGGACGGGUGAGUAACACGUGGGUAAACCUGCCCCAAGAGACUGGGGAUAACACCUGGAACAGAUGCUAAUACCGGAUAACAACACUAGACGCAUGUCUAGAGUUUAAAGAUGGUUCUGCUAUCACUCUUGGGAUGGACCUGCGGUGCAUUAGCUAGUUGGUAAGGGUAACGGGCUUUACCCAAGGCAAUGAUGCAUAGCCCGAGUUGAGAGACUGAUCGGGCCACAUUGGGACUGAGACACGGCCAAAACUCCUACGGGAGGCAGCAGUAGGGAAUCUUCCACAAUGGACGCAAGUCUGAUGGAGCAACGCCGCGUGAGUGAAGAAGGGUUUCGGCUCGUAAAGCUCUGUUGGUAGUGAAGAAAGAUAGAGGUAGUAACUGGCCUUUUAUUUGACGGUUAAUUACUUAGAAAGUCACGGCUAACUACGUGCCAGUAGCCGCGGUAAU